GAUGAAGAACGUAGCGAAAUGCGAUACGUAAUGUGAAUUGCAAAUUCAGUGAAUCAUCGAGUCUUUGAACGCACAUUGCGCCCCCUGGUAUUCCGGGGGGCGUGCCUGUCCGAGCGUCAUUGCUGCCCUCAAGCACGGCUUGUGUGUUGGGCCCCGUCCUCCGAUCCCGGGGGACGGGCCCGAAAGGCAGCGGCGGCACCGCGUCCGGUCCUCGAGCGUAUGGGGCUUUGUCACCCGCUCUGUAGGCCCGGCCGGCGCUUGCCGAUCAACCCAAAUUUUUAUCCAGGUUGACCUCGGAUCAGGUAGGGAUACCCGCUGAACUUAAGCAUAUCAAUAAGCGGAGGA
rnacentral:misc_RNA from 1 species